GUCUACAAUCAUGCCAUCCUGAACACACCCGAUCUCACCUCAUCUCGGAAGUUAAGCAAGAUUGGGCCUGGUUAGCACUUAGAUGGGAGACCACCUAGGAAUAUCAGGUGCUAUAGACA
rnacentral:rRNA from 1 species